GACGAACGCUGGCGGCGUGCCUAAUACAUGCAAGUCGAACGCUUCUUUCCUCCCGAGUGCUUGCACUCAAUCGGAAAGAGGAGUGGCGGACGGGUGAGUAACACGUGGGUAACCUACCCAUCAGAGGGGGAUAACACUUGGAAACAGGUGCUAAUACCGCAUAACAGUUUAUGCCGCAUGGCAUAAGAGUGAAAGGCGCUUUCGGGUGUCGCUGAUGGAUGGACCCGCGGUGCAUUAGCUAGUUGGUGAGGUGACGGCUCACCAAGGCCACGAUGCAUAGCCGACCUGAGAGGGUGAUCGGCCACACUGGGACUGAGACACGGCCCAGACUCCUACGGGAGGCAGCAGUAGGGAAUCUUCGGCAAUGGACGAAAGUCUGACCGAGCAACGCCGCGUGAGUGAAGAAGGUUUUCGGAUCGUAAAACUCUGUUGUUAGAGAAGAACAAGGACGUUAGUAAACUGAACGUCCCCCUGAC
rnacentral:rRNA from 1 species